rnacentral:lncRNA from 1 species
CAUGAAAACCAUAUGUAAUUUUAAUUGCUUAUUUACUUGUCUUCCCCAUUAGAAUGUUAUAGACUGUUCUUGGGAAGGGAGCCUGUCUUUUAUUUUUGAGAUUCUAAAGCUUAGUAAAUAUUCAAUAAAUAGUUGUUAAGUAAAUGAAGAAAAGGAUAAAUUUUUAGUAGGGCCAUCAGGAGUUUCAUGGGAGGAAAUUCGAGGUGGAUUGUGAGGGAUUAAGAUGAGAGAAGGAGAAAAAGCCCACAAAGAAGGGAUAGCACAAACAUAGGAGAGGCAAGGGGAGGGCGCGAUUAGGGAAUGGCUGCACAUGCCUCUUGGAGUAUUGAAGUAGAAGUUAAUCUGCGCUAAGAUAAGCCAGAACUAAGUCCAGGGGUUUACUGAUACUGGACAUCUGUUUACAUUGGGAAGCCACUGAAGGUUUUUGAGGAGGAGAGUUUAAGAACUGGUUCUGUGUUUAAAAGGAUGCUUCUGGUGAUACAAUGUGGGACUGAUUAGUGAGGACAGAGACAAGAGGCUAUGCAAGCAGUUAGGAGGCUGCUGCAUUAUUACUUUGGCUGAGAAAGGUGAGGAGGCUGCAGAAGAAAAGUUGGAAGCUAGAAGAAGUUGGUUUAUGAGGUUUAACGAAAGAAGACGUCUCCAUAACCUAAAAGGGCAAGGUGAAGCAGCAAGUGCUGAUGGAGAAGUUGUAGCAGGGGCACACCCAGCUCCAAGAUCACCUUCCCAGGCCUCUCUUGCUAUGACAGAUGCCAUGUGACACAGUUCUAGCCAAUGAGAAGUAACCAGAACACCCUGGGUAAGACUUCUUGGAAAAUUAUUUAAAAAGGGGGAGCUGACUUUGCCCUUUCUCUUUUGCAUAGCUAGGCUGAAAAUAUAAUGCUAGAUGUGGAACUGUCGUUUCGUGACUAGAAAUAAAGGGUGUGAGAGACAAAACUACCUACUGAAGAUGGCUGGAUAGAAAGAGAGAAGAGAUUCAGAUCCCUGAAGCCAUCAUAGAGUCAACACACCAUUCCACAGCAAGAUAUAAUUCUUUUUGUGGAGCCGAAUAUAUUCCAGGCUGAUAUUCACUGCUGAAAAAUUCAGCAAUGAUUUUUUUCAGUAACAUUACAGGACAUGAUAAAAAGCAAUUAUGCAUAUGUUCAUAUUGAAGUAGUAAAUUUUCCAGGAUAAGAUAAUUAAUAUUUAUUAUUGUGCACUUAUUAGAGAUAUCAGGCACAUAUUUUUUAUACCAACUCAUUUACCCUUCAGAAUUUCACCAGCCAGCAAGUGUGAUUAUCCGUCAUGUUACAAAUGGAGAAUCUGAUGUUCAGAUAGGUUAAAAAAUUUCUCAAGGAUGCACAGUUCAUGUGCCAGAUCCCAAAGUCCAUUUGCUUUCCACCAUACAAUAUUGAAUAUAUUCACUGUUAUUGUGUUUCUUAAAUGAAUUUUACUUUAAAGAUCUUUAUGGUGAAAAAUCUCAAAAUGAAAGAAAUUAUAGAGGAUUAUAGUCUAACUAAUACCAUGAGGUCACUCUCCAACUUUAAAAAUGUUUAGGCUGGGCGCAG